CUCUAUGUGAACAGAUCGUCGAGAACAGUUGCAAUCGGUGAAAUUGGAGAAUUGAAUAUUUACAGAAUUCUAGUUUGGAAGCUCUCUUUAGGUUUCCAUCUCUUCUCUCAUCAAGGUAUCAUAGUAUUUUUGUUGCCAAGAGCAAAAUUGAGUUACAAGCUUACAAAUUAGAGAUUAGGCUGACUUGAAUCCGUCAAAAUCUCAAAAGUAUGAAAUGGAAUCAACUUUGAAGGCUGUGAAACAUUCAUUCAUUCCACCUGGUGCCUUAGCAAGGGGACGAGGGAAAAGCUUUAGAGCUUUGAGUUCAGUAAGAGUAAAUGCUGAACAAAGACCUUCGAUUGGCAAAAGUAAAAAGUGUAAUACAACAACUUCUUAUCUGAAUGAGCUAGCUCAGAAUGAGUCUUGCACGCUCCUGAUUUUGAUCCACAGGAAGACUAUGUUUCCCUCUCUCAAGAAGCUGAACUGAUGCAAGACACUCAGAGAAACGAAAUAAGUCCAUGUGAACCUUAAAAGGCAAAAAAUGUGAGAGGGUCGAUCAGGUGCAGGACUCAAAGCUGGAGUAACGUUGAGCGUCACUUUUUACCACAAUCGAAUUGUUGGGAAGCAUCAUGCCUCAGCAAGACACUUAGGUAUAUUAGUUAAUGAUCGUAAUAUGUGUCCAUUGCGCAUACAUUAAUGGGCGGACAUCGAGGAUUAUAAGCUGGAUCACAUGUGGGCAGCUGUGACUAUAAGGAUUUAAGACAUGAGUUUUUUGUUUUGCCUUCUCCUUUUCUUCUUUUACAAAUGAAAACGAAAUACUUGUGAGCUUAUAUCAUUGUAUUUAUUGAGUUAUUUUCUGUUUGAUUUGUCAGAAUCUGUAAAGAAAAUAUUUGGUAUGCUAUAUUGGACUUGUGAAACUCAAUGUUAUUAAAAGCGCUCGCUUCGUCGCCUAAAGCAUUGAGGUGAGGCGACUGGCAUGCGCUUCAGAAGGCUGAGGCCACGCUGGUAGAAAGAAGGGACUCUUCUCCUCAAGAAGAUCGAAGUGGAGGAGAAGCGAGAAGCAUGCACUUCGUUUAUUUUAAUAAAAAGUUGACUUUAAACAGAAAAGGACUCAACUUUCUUACUAGUUUUGUUGCUCUCUUCCUUGGUCUGGUUUCUAUACUUCAAGCUACAGCCUGUUAGUUGGAUAGUAGUGCAUCCACUAUACUGGCUAUCAAAGAUGUGGAGAUAGCUUGUUCUCUGCAUUGAAUUUGAGUUCCAUGAUAUUCUCAUGAAAUUUGGAAAACUGGAAAAUGAUAUCCGGUAUCAUUCAAUUUAUACCAGAUCAAGAUUUACAAUCUACAAGCUGGAUUCUAAAGAACUGGCCUGCUACCCUUGAAGAAAGUGCAGAACAAUUGAAGCAAUCUACUUUGGUUUUGUUACAAUCUGUUUAGAAAUGUCACAUUUGUAAAAGCUAUAAUUUUAUUCUCUUUUGUUUGUAGUUGACAAAUAUAAUGUCAUGUAAUCUGAAUGUGUAUAUUUUUAUAUUUUUUUAGUAAUGUGAUGAUUUAUUUAUUUUUUCAAGUAUCC